rnacentral:rRNA from 1 species
AGAUUGAACGCUGGCGGCAGGCCUAACACAUGCAAGUCGAGCGGCAGCACGGGUACUUGUACCUGGUGGCGAGCGGCGGACGGGUGAGUAAUGCCUAGGAAUCUGCCUGAUAGUGGGGGAUAACGCUCGGAAACGGACGCUAAUACCGCAUACGUCCUACGGGAGAAAGCAGGGGACCUUCGGGCCUUGCGCUAUCAGAUGAGCCUAGGUCGGAUUAGCUAGGUUGGUGGGGUAAUGGCUCACCGAAGGCGACGA